UUCUUCCGCAGUGCAUUCCUCGCUGCAUUCUUGCACGUUCUCUGCGCUGCAACCUCGCCUUUGAGAAGGAUGACAACAUUGCUUUUUAAGUACAGGUUUAAUGUUUGCUUAAGGUACGCCACUGCGCCGUAGCACUUUGGGCUGGCAUCGCAGAAGAUGUGGACUUGCGGGCUCUGGUGAUCAUGUGGAAGAAAACAUCCAUCCACGGCCAGUUUGGUUAGUUCUGGGGCUCCGCUACACCACUCGUCCCAGAGUUAUUUCUUGCCCCUCGGCAUAGGUUCGUCGCAUCCGAUCUGUUCUGCCCACAGAGACUGGAACAACAGCUUGACUCGGAUUGUGAACGGGCUCAGUAAUCCGAGAGUAUCAAAAAUACUAGAAGAAGCUUGCAGGACGGCUCGUUUGGAUUCAGCAACUUCUUCUACGAACUUGAGUUUGUUGUCCAACGUGCACCCAAGCUUAUCGUUCCGGUUAUCCGUUAUGACUCUAAGCAGUUUGGUAGCUGAACAGUCGCCACUGCUAUCACACCCCGUCGGUCUUUCAAAAUUGCACAUUCAACGUCCGAGGAAUUGGAAGAGCACUUCCGCAAGCUCAUUUGUGCUUACCUCAUAAUCGUGUUGGCGUGAUUGUAUAGCAACAGCGAAGUCUCCACAUCGGUAGCACCAGUCAGUAAGUCACCCACAUAAAACGAUGUGUCUACGACA